rnacentral:pre_miRNA from 1 species
AGUGGGAUAGCUGGGUCAAAUGGUGGUUCCAUUCCAGGUUUUUUAGGGAAUCUCCAUACUGCUUUCCAGAUUGGUUGCACCAAUUUGCAGUCCCACCAGCAAU